GGCAGCCUGCGGAGCCACUGGCCAAGCUGGGAAGUCCGGCGCAACUCCGCACCGCAGAGCCGGCGCCUCCUCGGCAGACAGAACCUCCACUCAAUACACCAGAAAACAGAGAGUAUCUUGCAGAAAUUAUGUUCGAAUCAUUUAACGUUCCAGGACUCUACAUUGCAGUUCAGGCAGUGCUGGCCUUGGCGGCAUCUUGGACAUCUCGACAAGUGGGUGAACGUACAUUAACGGGGAUAGUCAUUGACAGCGGAGAUGGAGUCACCCAUGUUAUCCCAGUGAAGGUUAUGUAAUUGGAAGCUGCAUCAAACACAUCCCGAUUGCAGGAGAAAUACUGUUACAUUUGCCCCGAUAUAGUCAAGGAAUUUGCCAAGUAUGAUGUGGAUCCCCAGAAGUGGAUCAAACAGUACACGGGUAUCAAUGCGAUCAACCAGAAGAAGUUUGUUAUAGACGUUGGUUACGAAAGAUUCCUGGGACCUGAAAUAUUCUUUCACCCGGAGUUUGCCAACCCAGACUCUAUGGAGUCCAUCUCAGAUGUUGUUGAUGAAGUAAUACAGAACUGCCCCAUCGAUGUGCGGCGUCCGCUGUAUAAGAUGGAACAAAUUCCACUGAGCUAUCCUCAAGGUCACGGAUUCCAUCCUCUGUCACCUCCAUUUCAUUGAGAUGAUAUAUUGAGCCCAUGCGUAGCCUUUUAUUUGAGGUAUACCAAGCUUGGCUACGCAGGCAACACUGAGCCCCAGUUCAUUAUUCCUUCAUGUAUUGCCAUCAGAGAGUCAGCAAAGGUAGUUGACCAAGCCCAAAGGAGAGUGUUGAGGGGAGUUGAUGACCUUGACUUUUUCAUAGGAGAUGAAGCCAUCGAUAAACCUACAUAUGCUACAAAGUGGCCGAUACGACAUGGAAUCAUUGAAGACUGGGAUCUUAUGGAAAGGUUCAUGGAGCAAGUGGUUUUUAAAUAUCUUCGAGCUGAACCUGAGGACCAUUAUUUUUUAAUGGUGGAGUUUCACUCUUGUCGCCCAGGCUGGAGUGCAGUGGCGUGAUCUCAGCUCACUGCAACCUCCGCCUCCCAGGUUCAAGCGAUUCUCCUGCCUCAGCCUCCCAAGUAGCUGGGAUUACAGGCGCUCACCACCACGUCCGGCUACUUUUUGUAUUUUUAGUAGAGACGGGGUUUCACCACGUUGGCCAGACUGUUCUCGAACUCCUGACCUCAGGUGAUCCACCCGCCUUGGCCUCCCAAAGUGCUGGGAUUACAGGUGUGAGCCACCACGCCCAGCAACAAUGGUUUUGAAGAGCAGAAGGAGAAAUGAGGCUGUCUGAUCUUGCCCUCUCUCCCCACUUCCUCCUUCCUUCCCUGUUCCUGGCACUAGAUUCACUAGGAUUAGGGGAACUUGUAGCCAAGAAUAUAUAAAGAACUUCUAUAAAUCAAUAGGGAAAAGACCAAAAAAAGUCAUAGAAAAGCAAGCCAAUGAUUUGAGUAGGCAAAUUAGAGAAGUGGAAACCGAAAUGUCCAAUAAACAGGUGAAGAGUCAAGCUUAGCAGCUAUUAGGGAAAUGCAAGUUAAAACCAACUACCAUCCAGGUGCUGUGGCUCAUGCCACAAGGUUGGUUGAGUGUAAAUUGAAACAAUCAUUUUGGAGAGAAAUUUGGCAAUCUCUUGUAAUAUUAAAAGCUCUUUGACUCCUAGAUAUAUAUCCUAGAGAAGUUCCAGCAAAUGUGCACAAAGACAUAUAAAAGAUGCUUACUAUUUGUUAAUCUGGAAGUAACACAGGGGUCAUUAAUAGGGGGGUGGACAAAGAAAGUGUAUGUCACUAAUGAACUAGAUCUGUAUGUAACAGUAUUGUAUCAGUCAGGUGUGCCGCAAUAAUGCUGCAUGACAAAACACCCUAAAACUGACUUAUAACAACAGGCAUUUAAUUUUGGCUAGUAUGUCUGCAUCAGCUGGCCUGUAUUAGUCUGUUUUCACACUGGUGAUAAAGACACACCUGAAACUGGGGGGAAAAAAAAAGAUUUAAUUGGUCUUACAGUUCCACAAGGUUGAGGAGGUCUCAGAAUCAUGGCAGGAGGCAAAAGGCACUUCUUACAUGGCAGCGGCAAGAGAAAAAUGAAGAAGCAAAAGCAGAAAUCCCUGAUAAAUCCAACAGAUCUCUUGAGACGUAUUCACUAUCACAAGAAUAGCAUGGGAAAGACCAGCCCCCAUGAUUCAAUUACCUCCCCUGGUCCCUCCCACAACACAGGGGAAUUCUGGGAGAUACAAUUCAAGUUGAGAUUUGGGUGGGGGCACAGCCAAAUCAUAUCAUGGGGUUUGGCCAGUCUAGCCCAGGAUUGGCUCGACUUGGCUCGGGUCAUUUUGUGAUUAGUGUGCUCCUCACAUUUCACCUUUUCUGGGCCCAGUAGGCCAUCCAGGACAUGUGCAAGCCAGCGACACUAUGGGCAGCUCUGGGAGCCAGUUUAUAUACCAACUCCUGAUGGUACGUCCAGCCUGCUGCCCAGGAAGGAAGCCAGUGCUGGCACCUGGAAGGCGCCUGGCGUGUAUGGGAGCACCAAGAGCAUGGGGAGAUGCACUGCAGCAGGCAGCACAGACCUACAGUCUGUUAUCACAGUCUCGCUCUCUGUAAUAAGCAGGUUAAUAAGGUAAUAAGGAGGUUACAUUGCUGUUUGAAUUUGCUUUCCUUGACUAAGCAUCUCUUCAUGCUCAAAAGUCUUUUACAUGUCUUCUUCUGUGAAUUCUUUUGUGUCAUUUGCUCAUUUAUCUACUUGUAUGGUUUUUGCCUUGAAGAAAAUGUAAAUUUUAACUUAGUUAAAUGUAUAAAGUUUUAUCUUCAUAGCCUCUGGAUUUCUUUUUUUCUUUCUUCCCCUGAGAUAGACCUUCCCUAUUACAUGAUAAUUUUAAAAAUUCUCCAAUUUUUUUCUAGUACAUUUAUAGUUUCUUUCCAUUUUGUAUGUGUUUUGCUGCUGGGACUCUGGACACUGUUCAUUGCCCUACUCAUCUCUUCCUUAUGUAUUUGGUUUGCUAUGUUUAUCAUAUUCAUUUUUUUUUUUUUUUUGAGUCAGUCUCGCUCUGUCGCCCAGGCCAGAAUGCAGGAGCACAAUCUCUGCUCACUGUAGCCUCAACCUCCUGGGCUCAAGUAUUUCCCCUACCUCGCCUUCCUGAGUAGCUGGGACUACAGGCUCACACCUCUACACACACUCGACUACUUUUUGUAUUUUUAGUGGAGACAGGGUUUCACUAUGACGCCCAGCCUGGUCUCGAACUCCUGGGCUCAAGGGAUCCGCCCGCCUUGGCUUCCCAAAAUGCUAGGAUUACAGGUGUGAGAAACUGUGUCUGGCUGUUUAUCAUAUUCUUAAUUCCUGAUUGUAAAUUUAUUUCUGGACUUAUUUUCUCCCCUUGAGUCGUCUGUGUGUUCAUGUGCCAGCCCCACUGUUUGCAUUUCUGUAGCCUUGCAAAUGGUAUCUUUAUCUUAGACUUUUUAGUAUCUGGAGUGCCAGUGUCCCUCUCAAUACUCUGCUUUUCCAGGAAUAUCUUGGUUAUUUCUUACAUGUUUGUUUUUCCCAGAGGGCUUUAGAAACAGCAUGCCAAUUCUAGUAUCUGCUUCCUCCCCCCGUCCUCCAAAAGCAUUUGUGUUUUUACUGAGAAGAUGCUACAUUUAUACAUUAAAGACAUUCGACAGGAAACACAAAAAUGCAGAUACAUAAGCAGGCCCCAGGUAUUUUUCAUAGUACUUAUUUGUCAGGUCCUGUCUCACAUAUAAAAGCACACAGGGCACUUGCCACCUUCUCUUCCGCAAAGUGCAUCAGUGUGGUGACCAUGACAGGAACAGAAAAGGGGAAGGAAGCUGAGAUCCUGGCAGAAUAAAAUGUGGCAUGGAAUUAAAUAGUUAAUAUGUAAAUAUAAUGAAAUUAAUAGCAUUUAUCGACCAGUUGAGCACUUUAGUCCAUUAUCUCAGUUCAUAUGCACAACUUCUAUGAGGCAGGUGCUACUAAUAUUAUCCUGAUUCAUCAAUAAAAAUGAAGCUCAGAAAGAUUAAGUCACUUUCACUCAACUAAUCAUCAUCAGAGCUGGAAUUUGAUCCAGUUGUAGACUCUGCACUCUCAACCUCCAAGCUGAGCUGAGCUGCUAAGUAAAGUUAAACUGCUUCUGGGAGUCUGGGUAGAGAGAAAAAAGAGAAAUAUGUUUGCUGAAUCAAUUGCUGCCGGCCAAGGGCCAGGCCUUUGCACCUGGCAUCACAGCUGACUGAAGCUGCAGAAUCCGCAGGAAUUCAGAGCCUGGGGCUCCUGCUGUGUGGGACACAGAAUGGGAAGAUGAAGUCACCACCCCAGUGUGUCCCAGGUCUUUGUCAGAGGACAAAAUGCUGACAUUUCAGGAGGGAGGAAGACCCUUGCUGCUAUCAUGGCCCUUAAUCCUGAGGUUAGGGAGCCAAGGCGGAGGUCCUGUAGGGGUGAGAACAUCCAUCCCAACUGUGUCCGCCCACCCUGCUCAGGAAGCCGCCUGCGGGGAGAACACAAAGUUCCACUGGGCUCGGGGCAGUGCCGGAGCUCCCUGCCCCCGGCCUCCUGGGAAGCACCAGCUCGCAGAGGGACCAGCUCAUGCUGGGAUCAGUGCCUGCUCUGAUACCUGGAAGUCCCUGGCGGCUUGGGGGCUUACUUCUUGCUGGGGUGUGGUCUCCUGGUCAGAAGCUCCAGUCCUGCUGGGGAAGCCAGCUGAAGGCACUCGGCUCCCCUCAGGGCCUCCCAGGCUCCUUUCCCGAGGGUCUGGGUUGAUAACUAAGUUUGGAAAUCCCUUGAGGGGUUGAGGUUCUAGGGCAGUGGUUUCAAUGGUAGGGGUGUUUCCCUAGGGAACAUUUCAAAAUGGCUGGAGACAUUUAUAGUUGUCAUGGCCAGGAGCAGGGAGAGGGGUUCUGCUAGCAUCUGGUGGGUAAAGGGAGGCGGUACUGCUAAGCAUCAUAGGAUGCAAAGAACAGUGCCCUCCCGUGCUCCCCCUCCCCCACAAAAAAACCCAAAGAAUUAUCUAGCCCAAAUUGUCAACAGUGUCAGGGCUUGGACAUCCUGUCUUCGAGGGCUUCAGUUAGCACCAAAACCCUUGGGAGCUGGUUUAAAAUGUGGAGUCUAGAAUCCCCUAAACCCAUAGGGUGCAGUGUGAGACCCAGGAACCUGUACUUUCAAGCAUUCCAGAUUAUUCUGUUACAGGUAGACCAUACUCCACAUUGACAAGUAGCACUGCAGGCUGCACCCGGCGCAUGAUUCCCAAACUCUGGCCCUGUGUGGGUCUGCCUGGGGCAGAGGCAGCUGGAGAGCUGGCUAAAGCCCCAGCCUCCUUCAUCCCUGGAGGUUCUCUUGUAAUAGACAUGGCUUCCAUCCCAGAAUUCCAUGGGUUGUUUUGUUUGGCUUAAGUGAUUCCUUUUUUUUUUUUAAGUUGACAAAAAUUGCAUACAUGUAGGUAUAUACCAUGUUUGGAAAUGUGUAUACAUUGUGAAAUGGCUAAAUUGAGCUAAUAACAAAUGCAUUACCUCACUUUUCAUUUUGUGAAAUCUACUCUCAUCAAUUUCCAGCAUACAACACACUGUUGAGCACUUUGUCACCAUGGGCUGCACACUAGGUCUCUUGGACUUAUUCCUCUUGUCUAACUGAAAUUCUCUAUCUUUUGACCAACAUUUCCCCAAUGAGAGAUUCGUAUUUAGAUUUGCUAACCCAGUAUGUGGCCUAAAUCCACACAGGACUCUGGUCAUCUGCCCUCAUCUUCCAGUGCUACAAGUCAAGCAAAACUGUGGUGCCUGCCAGCUGAUUUCAUUCCCGGAAGCCCAAAGCUUUACCAGCAGGUCACUUCCAGCACACAGAUAAGGAGAUUAGCCACGCCUCUCACUUCACCUCCAGCUCCUCACUGUUCCAGAAUUACCAACUAUCCUAUUUCUGUUCAAAGCAGCCAAAAUUAACUGAGGGCUGCUCUUUGAGGGCUUCUGCAGGGAGCGUGGACCCUAUGGCCAGCAGGAGCAGCACCUCCCUCCCUCCCUCCCUCCACUAAAAACCUGUGGCGUCCCUGUUACAGAAUGGAAUGUGCUAGAUCUCUCAGGGAUGCUGAGGUACGAAACAGUUCGGGAAGACAGAACCAGAAGACGGUUCGGGAAGCCUGGGAUCAGAGUGGAGAACGACAGAGCUCUUCAGCAUGGUCCUUUGGUUUCCGAAGCAGUGCCUGGCACCUCAUGAUGGCUCAAUGCUCGUCAUUCAUUGCCACUAUGAAAUAUUCCUGAAGGGCGUUUCCUCCAGGCUGUGGUACUGUCUGGAGAAUUAUCGUGGCUCCCUGCUCAAGCCUAUGACUCUAGGGCCACCAUCUCUGACCUCGGCACCAUCCACCCCCAGCAAUGCGCAGAUUGGACGAGGGCUCGCUAGAGACUUCAUCCUGCACGCAGGCGCUGCCCUCUGUUGGCCAUACUCUUUGUGUGCAGCUUAACUUUUCUUGGUUACCUUUACUUUUUUUUCUCAGUGGCUUUGUCCUCUGUCUCAGCGUGGCCUCCAAGGCCACUUCCUGCUCUGCCACUUGGUAUGGUUCAGGGCUGCCCUGCUCUCAGUCACGGCCCAUUUUUAGAGCUUUUUUGCAUCGUGUAGGUCCGUGAGCAUCUGUGUCAGAGGCUGAUAUUUACUGAUGUGCCUCCCACAUUGGGGAUGGUGUUGGGGGCACGGGUGGGGUUUGAAACUGAUAACUCUAACAGAAGUUGGGUACAUAGUGACUGUGUCCAAACCCCUGCACCAAGAGACUGGACCAACCCUAGCAUGGCUUCUGGCAGCCCAAAGCGGCAUCCCUGGGACCACCUGGCCACCCUUUGAGUUCCUGUCUGAAAAAGCUCAAGGCCGUCAAAAUCAUUUAGUGUUUGUUCCUACCAACACCUGACAACAGGCCUCUGACCACCCCCUCACUUUCUUAGAGCAUUUACGUUAAAAACACUUAGAGUCGUACCUCCUUCCCUUGUCCCUUUGAGAUGUACAUGCAUGUGUGUCCAGGAGUGUCUUUCUCAAGAGCCUGAGAGCCAGUCCUUUGAAAUGGCAUCAUCAGGAAGGAUGGGGCCUGUCUCCCAGGCUCUGGGGGAGGCCAGAACCUAACUUCCAUCACUGCCAGCUGGCACACACAGCUGGCCCGGCCACAAUAACACAGACAGCCCUUUGUAAUUUUUCACUCCCAUGAUUCCUGAGCCCUGGAAUGCCCUUUCCCGACUCCUACGUUCUCCCAUUAAACUGUCCAGUCCCCCUGCACAGAUCUGAAUGGAGCUCAGCUUCUCCCCUGUCAGUGGUUAAUGAAUAAGGUCUGUUUUCGUAGCUUUAACUAAGGUCCAGCUUAGUUUAUCUUUGACAGACCUACUUACCCUGCAGGUUCCCACCUCGGGCCUGGAGGGAAAGCCUCUGGGAGGAACACGGUCCUCACCAAAGGGUGGGAGACCAGAUCGUGCCAGGGAGUGGAGUGGACAUGAGCUCUGGGACCCUCUCCUCUCUCCCGGAAUGGCUGCACAGGAAGGAAGGAUGGAAGAUGUGAGAAAGGCCACCCUGCCUGGGAAGGAGCUACCAGCCCUCAGCAGUCCAGAGGCUGCCCAGAGAGCAGCGAGCAGCUCUCCAGGACUCCACCUCCCAGGCCCAGAGGAUGCCACCCAGGGGGCUCAGUGAGAAUUCAGCCACAGCCACACACAUCCCGGGAGAGUGUCUAAAGAUGCCACCAAUCCAAUAUCACAGAAGGCAAGAACCCAAAGAGCAGAAGCCGAGACAAGGAAGUAGCCAUUUUGGAUACAUGCCCCCCACCCCAAUCCUGGGCCAACGUGGAUCUUCAGCAUCCUGAACCUGAAGCCCCCAUGGUGGGCCUGUGGCGGGCUGGGUGUGGCUUCAGAGGUGCAGCGGCAGGAACUGGCAGAGUGGUUCCCCCAGGCCCAGGGCUGACCCACAGCGACAUGGGAAAAUGGGCCCAGUAGGUCCCUCCUUGUUUAGCUCCCUUUGGUCUUUCCAGGUCCAGCUUCACUGGGUCCACGGGGUCCCCAUCCUGAGGUCACUGUGUUUCUCACCCCCCACCUGCCCACUCGCUCCCAGCCCACUGCAGUCUGACUUUACUGCCCAUCACCAAAGAUGCCAGCUGACCUUGACUUCUUGGGGGUAGAGGACAAUGGGGGUCUGUGUUACCUCAACCACUCUCUCCUGUUGAACCUCUCAUCCUCCUGAGUGACACUCACCUGGUUGUCUUCCGGCUACCUGCAACCUCCCGGCAUCCUCCACAGGCCACCUUCACCCACCCACCCCGUGAACUCACACUCCUUGGGGUUCUCUUCUGGGUUUUUCUCACUCUGAACCCCCUGAGCAACCUGCACCCCUCAGGGAUCACCGGUUAUUUAUGCCGAUGGCUCCAACUCUGCCUCCUGCAGCCUCAUCUUCCUCCUGACCAUCCGCCCCACCGCCCAGCCAGCCACUACCUACACUUCCACGGGGUGCCCUGGACACACACGACUCACCAGGAAACAAAGGAACACCUCAGCUCCCACAGCCACUCUCAGACCUGCCCCUGCUGCACUCCCCACCACGGGCAGCCUCGGUCUCUAUGGGUCACAGCCAAGCAGCUCCCCCCUCGCUUCUCUGUCCUCACCACUUCCACCAGGGGCCCUAAUAAAGAUGUCAAACCA